CCUAAAGCAUUCAACUUAGUUUAAAUCUGAGAGACGUUUAGGCUUGAAGUUGUUGAAUUUGAUUUCCUGUGAAAUUUUCAGUUACAAAAAUUAAUUCGUACAGUUUACGGUGUCACAGGUAUACAGAUUACAAAUGUUGAAGAUUAUUCUAUUCGUACUUGUAGUUGUGUUGGGUACUACUUUUAUCUCGGGGAAAAGCCCUGAUGAAAAGUGCCAGGCAAAGGAUACUCCUUGUAAUACAAGCCUUGACUGUUGUAAAAAUGGAGGACUGAUUUGUAUUGCUGUUGAUGACCAUGGGGAAUGCAAAGUAUUAUUCAGUCGCUUUAAAGCUGACAGCUUAAGGAAGGGGAUUCUAUAUACAUUUAGAAAAAUAAAAUAGGGGUGACACCAAUUUCAAGUUUCCAAAUAAUGCACGGAUUCAUAAGACUAGUAAUUUUAUGAACGUGUUUGAUUUAUCAAGAAUAAUUUAACAUGCCAAUAUAAGAAAAAAUAAAAUAAAAAAUAUCUCAAUGACUA